GCAUUAGAGGGAUUACGGUUGAUGGCAAUAGAGUAAGCUUUCAGGGUACCGAUAUGACUAGCCUAUUACGCAUCGAAAUUAACUUUUACGAUGACGUCAGAGUCCACAUUACUAUAACGGAUGGAACGACGACUUUUGCAAUAUUGUGUUUUAUGGAAACAGGACGUUGUGUUAUCGUUAUUUUACAAAUGCAGAUACAACAAGGUUUUCAAGCUGGUAAUGACAUCAUCCGCCUGAGCAGAACAGUGAUUCCUGAGUAACGAAUGUUAAAACUGCAACCAACUAGAGCUGUCAGAUGGUGUGUGGUCACACCAAGGAACCAGGAACAUAUUUGACCUCAAAAACACAUUGUGAUGUAUAUCUAUACAUUCAAUUCGUUAUUCAUCAUGUCUAUUGGAUAUAGUUAUAACAAAAAUGUAGAAGUGAUAAAGUCAGUUUCUGAAACAAUAUUUACAUUUCUUCUAAC